UGAAGCCUGAACUCGAGUAGGGCCCAAGCAAGCCAGGAAGGAGGAGGCAGCCAGAGUGUUCUCUGCAGCAGAAGACCCCUUGCUGCCUUGCUUAACCCAGACCAGCAUUUGCCAGUGUAACAUGACAGGGCUCUGUGUAUGAUCAAUUUACGGAAAAUAGGAGACUACCAAAAGUGGUGGAGGCAUUUUAAUAGAGCCAUUUUCCAGCAUCUGAGUGUUAAUGCAAUGUGACUGGAAUGUCACCAGUAAACACCACCACAAGCUGUGCUGUGUAUUGCCAGUUGAAGAUGGUUCCUGCAACAAGUUUCACACCACUGUGCUGCCCUAAUAUGAACUAUUUUGCUAUGCUUUGUGACCUGGGGAAAGGAUGCCCCUUACUUCGUGGUGUGAUCAGCUUCGAAUAAGAUAUUCCUCUGGUUCCCCUCUGCCCAUUUGUUAAGGAUUCCUUGAAGGAAAUGUGAAGUUUGUCCCCCAGAGCCCUGGAAAGAUCCAAGGGAGCACCAGAACACCCGUUCCUCUCUCCUUUCUCCUUCACAGAAGCUUAUUACUGAAGAAGCCACGGUUCCAGACAUCAGCGCCAAAGAUAAGAGCCUGGACAGUGGGAAAAUUCCAUAAGUCAGUGAACUUCACUAUUUUCCAAGUGGGGACCACUUUGGCAAAAAAAAAUUCCAACAUGAGAGCAAUUUCCCACCUCCAUGGGAGACAGCUCAGAUUGUCCAGGCCCUGUUGGAAAUGUGGCACUGGUGACCCCAGAUAAGACCCACUGGGAAAACUUGUGUGCUGCCUUCGCAGCUGCCUUCAGGGAGUGGCCCUAUUGGUGAGGACCCUCCUCCAUACAAGGAGGCGCCCAGGCCAGGGGAGAGCAUAACAUCGGCCCCCAUGGAGACCAGUUCUGGCCUGUGAGGACUGUUGGGGCAGCCCCUCCCCCCGCACCUUCCCAGGAGUACUGAAAGACCAGUGUGCCCUGAGAGGAAGGCAAGAAAGGAGGCACCCAGGCCAGGGAGCUCUUGUCCUCAACUCCUGAAAAGACCAACAGCCUGAGACAAUGUUUUAUUAAUCUUCUGUUAUUUGCUUCGUUUAAUAUUGUAAACCGCUUUGGGUGCCUUUGUCAAGGCAGAAAGGCAGUAUAAAAAUCUAGUAAGUAAGUAAGUAAGUAAGUAAGUAAAUAAAACACCAUCCUCCACAGUGUCCAAGCUGAUGGACUAUCUGGCUUCCAUCUUCAGCCUGGAGGAAGAUCCGAAGAAACAUUCCUCCGCAGAGGGGCCACACAGCCUCCCCAGACCCAAAACAAAGCCCAAGUAUGGUUUGAAAGCACCCCUAGGUGGCAAGGUAACCCUGUAGAAUGCUCCCACAACAAACCCUUCUUUCUUUUGUCUUCCUCCCCUUUUCCAGCGGCCUGGGUUUCCUCUGGUAGUUGCACAGGGGAAACAGUGUCCAGGCACCUGCCCCCCUUCCCUACUUGGUGUGUGCUCCUCUCCCCCAUCCACUCCAGCAUCCAUUCCUCACUUCAUGUCCGUCUUAGUUCACUCCUCCUUCCUCCCAGGCCUGCAGCAGGAGCAGGAGCACAGGAGCCCAAGUAGCUCUUGGGGGCCCUCUGGAAUCCCAGCCCUGGGGGUGGGGGUGACACAUCCCAAGGGUCCCUAGUGCUACCAGGGAAUUCUCCUCCCUUCAGCUCCCUGCAGUAUAGCAGGUGAGGUUGCCAUCAGCAUGCCUCCUGGCCCCAUCUUUGGCUCAUCCCCUCCCCUGCCUGCUACAGCAAAUAGGGCUCCUUCUUCACCCUGGGGGUAGGGGUGAGCAAGAAAGUGGCCUCUAGUGACUGCCAACACAGAGGGAGGCCACAAUGGUUGCCCUAUUGUGGGCCAAGUAGGAAUUUUUUUGUUUUCCAACAGAAUUGGCCCAAUAGGAAAGUCUUUUUUUCUUUCUUUCUUUGUGCCUCUUCUAGUCUAUCCUGUUUUGUUUCCUUAGCUAAAAAGUUGUGUACUUAUAGAAAAUCUAGUGAAGUUGAUUAAUAAAGUUGCAACCUUUCAUUCACA